UCCCCUCCUCUUUGGUGCUAACCCAAUCCCUUGAUGCCUCAUGCGACCUAGUUCUCUGACAAUCUUGGCAUCCUUGCCUUCCUUCCAUGCCUUAAACCUCUUCCCUAGCCCUCCUUCUAUCAUCUUUCAAGCCCCCUUCCUCUGGCCGCUAUCCAAUGAGAUUAACCAUGCCCUUACUCUUGCUGCUACUCACCACGUAUUGGGUAGCCAAGCUAAGGGGGAG
rnacentral:lncRNA from 1 species